rnacentral:rRNA from 12 species
UUUGACCUCGAAUCAGGU